rnacentral:tRNA from 1 species
CUGGAUCACCUCCUUAAAGGGAGACCUAAUUCAGGUAGGAGACGAAAAAAAAGUAGUCGCUACCAAGAAUCAAUCCCAAAAGGUCGGAGCGAGGCGAAAUUGGCUUUCAAACUAGGUUCUGGGUUCAAACAAGACCUGAAUCAGGAACAAGGGCUAUUAGCUCAGGUGGUUAGAGCGCACCCCUGAUAAGGGUGAGGUCCCUGGUUCGAGUCCAGGAUGGCCCACCUGCACAGGUGGCAAAAAAAGAGAAGCGAGGAAUCAGCACCUUAUCUUACUGACAUAGUAAGAGAGAAUGCUGGCUCUGAGUAAAGAGUCCAGAGGAACCUUGAAAACUGCAUAGAGCUAGGUGAAAAAGCCAAAAAAGAAGACCGCAAGGUCAAGCUAAUAAGGGC